CGACCUCGUAGUAGGAGAGAGCUACCCGCCAAAUUUAAGCAUAUUAAUAAGCGGAGAAAAAGAAACCAACAGGGAUUCCCUUAGUAAGGGCGACUGAACCGGGAAAAGCCCAGCGCAUAACCUCGAUGUCUUCGGGCACGAGGGGUGUUGCGUUUCAGAGGGUCCAGCACGCCGUCCCAUACCGUCUAAGUCAAGCUUGAAAGCGGCCACUGCCCAUGGAGGGUGACAGGCCCGUAUGGCGGCGCCCGUGAGGGUACAGAUGGGACGGUCGGAAAGGGCCUCUCUGUAGAGUCGGGUUGCUUGAAAGUGCAGCCCAAAGCAGGUGGUAAACUCCAUCUAAGGCUAAAUAUGACCACGAGACCGAUAGCGAACAAGUACCGUGAGGGAAAGUUGAAAAGAACUUUGAAGAGAGAGUUCAAGAGUACGUGAAACCGUUAAGAGCCAAACGGGUGGAAACUCGAAGGUCGAAUUGAGGGGAUUCAGCUCGUCGGCUGUCGGCUGGGUGGGGUGUUGUAAUUGAGCGACCCAAAAAUGUUUGGGCGCGCCCCCACUCACGCUGGCGUCGGCGGGCGUAUUUCGCCUCGUAGUAGGUCACCGCGACCCGUUGCCGGGGACGUCGAAGGCCCGGUCGGACUGGUAUCUUCGUCACGAAUUUCCUCUCUCAGUCUGGGGGGAGACCCGCGACGGGGGGAACCACCGGUGUCCUGGUUGCCCUGGCGACGUGUCGUCGAGAAAGAGCUGGCGCUGCCGCUUCGGCGGUGGUUGCCUCGCGGUGUGCGCAAAGGUCGGUGAUCCACCCGACCCAGUCUUGAAACACGGACCAUGAGUCUUAACAUGUGCGUCAAUGGGCUCACUAAACCCAAAAGGCGAAUGAAGUGACGGGCUCGGGGCAGCUGUAACAGGCUCUCCGCGCGCUCUGGCCGAUCCUGACCGGGUUGCCUGCGGCCUCGCCCCACGCCCGCUGCCAAGCGGGUGAGAUACUUUUCCCUGCCUCUGGAUCGCUAUGUGGUGGAGGUCGUCAGGGCGAUGGUCGAAGUUUAAUUUCCCCUCAUGGGAGGGGGGGGCGCAGGCCCGGGACUUGCCAAGACGCCGCGGUGCUGUCCGUCCCCGGAAGCGGGCCGUCGGUAAACGGCGGAGGCGCACCGGGGCAGGCUCGCGGGCAGUCGGCAAGUACCAUGAGCAUAUAUGUUGGGACCUGAAAGAUGGUGAACUAUGCCUGGCCAGGAUGAAGCCAGAGGAAACUCUGGUGGAGGUCCGUAGCGAUUCUGACGUGCAAAUCGAUCGUCGGAGCUGGGUAUAGGGGCGAAAGACUAAUCGAAUCAUCUAGUAGCUGGUUCCCUCCGAAGUUUCCCUCAGGAUAGCUGGAACUCGCAGGGUGAAUUUCAUCCGGUAAAGCGAAUGAUUAGAGGUCUUGGGGACGAAACGUCCUCAACCUAUUCUCAAACUUUUAAUGGGUGAGAUGCCGAGCUUGCUUGUAGGGUUGCUAUAGACAGCAGGACGGUGGCCAUGGAAGUUGGAAUCCGCUAAGGAGUGUGUAACAAUUCACCUGCCGAAGCAACUAGCCCUUAAAAUGGUAUGGCGCUCAAGCAUUCUCCCGAUACUCGACCGCCGGGCGCACUACCGGCCUCGCUCUCAAGGCGAGGUCUCGAAGCCCCGGUGAGUAGGAGGGUCGCAGUGGUGAGCGCUGAAGGGUUUCGGCGUGGGCCGGCCUGGAGCCGCCACUGGUGCAGAUCUUGGUGGUAGUAGCAAAUACUCGAGAGAGACUCCCUUGAUGAACCGAAGCGGAGAAGGGUUCCAUGUGAACAUCAGUUGGACAUGGGUUAGUCGCUCCUAAGCCCAGGGCUAAGGCCUGAUCCACGCUCGAGGCAAAUGCAACACGAGCAGAGGAGAAGAAGAAGAACAACUACAACUAAGUAGGGGUUCUAUCUAUCUAUCUACCUCGGUCUUAUAUAACACAGUCUAACAAAGUGAAAGGCCAAAGGAUGAGUGGCGAAAGGGAAUACGGUACUUAUUCCGUAACCAGGCCUGGAACCUAGCGGUGUGUGUGCGCCCUUUGGGAAUGCUACAUGCCCGCAGGGUCCUAACAACUGAAACAGCUCGCGUCCACCGGCGGUGGUCCGGGAAAGAGUUCUUUUUCUGUUUAGGCGCCGUGGCCCUAGAAAUCUCUCAUUCAGAGAGGGCGUUGGUAAGACGGUUAGCCGAGCGCCGCGCGUCGAGCGCCACCGCCGUCCGUGAAAAAUGCGAGGUGGUUAUCCCAGGCAGCGAACUCGCUUCCGGCGGCGUCUGCUUUUCGGGCCUGUGCGUACCCAUAACCGCAUCUCCAAGGUAAGCAGCCUCUGGUCGAUAGACUAAUGUAAGGAAGUCGGCAAAUUAGAUCCGUAACUUCGGGAUAAGGAUUGGCUCUGAGGAUCGGGCCAGUCGGGCCUGUCGCGGAAGCGGGCCUGUUCGGGCGCAGGACUGGGCGAGUGACGGUAGGGACGUUAGGCAAACUGCCGUGGUU